GCAAACUUGGUCAUUUAGAGGAAGUAAAAGUCGUAACAAGGUUUCCGUAGGUGAACCUGCGGAAGGAUCAUUAAUGAAACUAUACUCUCCCUUGGGGUUUUUCCAGCUGCUGCGCCUAUUUGGCUGCACGCUUGUUGGCCCUUUGGGGUUUAUAUUUCCACAAACCCUCUGUGCAUGUUGGGAGGCUUCAUUGUCCUCUCCUAUUUUCAUACACUCUAAUGUUUAUACACAACCAUGUCUUUAUGAUAUUAUGAAAUGUAACAACUUUCAACAACGGAUCUCUUGGCUCUCGCAUCGAUGAAGAACGCAGC
rnacentral:misc_RNA from 1 species